UGGCGGCGUGCUUACACAUGCAAGUCGAACGGAGCAUCGGUUUUCGGACGGAUGCUUAGUGGCGGACGGGUGAGUAACGCGUGGGUAACCUGCCUUACACAGGGGGACAACAGUUGGAAACGACUGCUAAUACCGCAUAAGCCCACAGGACCGCAUGGUCCAGUGAGAAAAGAUUUUAUCGGUGUAAGAUGGACCCGCGUCUGAUUAGCUGGUUGGUGGGGUAACGGCCUACCAAGGCGACGAUCAGUAGCCGACCUGAGAGGGUGAUCGGCCACAUUGGGACUGAGACACGGCCCAAACUCCUACGGGAGGCAGCAGUGGGGAAUAUUGCGCAAUGGGGGGAACCCUGACGCAGCAACGCCGCGUGAGUGAAGAAGUAUUUCGGUAUGUAAAGCUCUAUCAGCAGGGACGAAGAUGACGGUACCUGCAGAAGAAGUCCCGGCUAACUACGUGCCAGCAGCCGCGGUAAUACGUAGGGGACAAGCGUUAUCCGGAUUUACUGGGUGUAAAGGGAGCGUANGCGGCCAGACA
rnacentral:rRNA from 1 species